ensembl:lncRNA
CUCCCAGCCGGGUGGGAGGAGGAAGCGGCCGGAGGCGCGGGCCCGCAUAACAAUACGCCUCCGGGCUGAAUGCCCGGCGGCUUUUCAGCAGCUAGGGGAUCUUUCAGAGACUUAAGUGGUUGCUCUGGUCGGCGAGGUAAGCGGGAAGCCUGUCUCCAAACGCCCUGCAGUUCUCGCCCUCCGGAGGUUCCAGGCGGCCGAGCACUCAGCCCCUCCCCCAGCCCUUUCCUGGAAAUGUCUUUUAAGAGGCCCCAGUUGGGCCCCCAGCCGCAGGGACCCGCCAGAACAAGGGUGCACCCGCCGUUCGGCAGGACUAGGGGCUGUGUAUGAAAGAUCCCGAAUCCUCGAGGACACGCUGGCCUCUGCUGUGAGAGACGGUGCUUGCCCCGUUCUGCCCACCCGAGGGCAGAAACCUGCAGGGGGAUCCUUCGCGUGCAGGGGGAUCCUUCGUGCAGGGGGAUUCCGCACACCCUACACGCUCCCAAAGGUUCUGUGCGCCUGGAGCAGUCAGGAGCUGCGGCUCACUCCCUUUACGAGGCUGGGGAGGCACCGCGGCCGGCCCAGGGACUCCGAGCACCCACAGCUCGGCUGCUGUCACGGUGGCGGGACACCCACGUCCACAGCUGCGCUCAGGAGCCUGUCCAUGAGCAUCCUGGGGGCACCCCGGGCACAUGUGACUCAGAGGACAUCCUGCAGUCAUCUCAGGAGACACCCCACCUGACAUGGCUAAGGAUUUAAAUUCCAACCCUCACCCCACCAGGCCCCUUCCUUCUUGCCACUCAAAUCUGGGGGCAGCUCCUGUGACCAGAGUGAGCCCCUGCAGAGCAUGUGGAGCCUGGUGGGCUGCCGUCUAUGGAGUCGCACAGAGUCGGACACGACUGAAGCGACGCAGCAGCAGCAGCAGCAGGUGCUGUUUAUCUGGGGAGGGGGAUUUGGGUCAUCCAGGUAAACCCACCUCCUGAGCUUGUAUGUGCAGCCCAGCCCUGCAGAACCCUGUGUUCGGCUGGUCCCACCCAGCUAGCUGGGCCCAGUUCCCAGCCCCACCAUUUGUCCAGAGCCAGGUUGUGAGUGGCGCUGCCUCCCGCCUCCAUCCUUUGCGGCAGCUUCGGCCCAGUGGACUGGCUUCCCCGGAGCAGCUGCGCCGGGCGAGCAGGCACAGCCAGGCCUGCUGAGGUCUCCAGGUGUAGAGCAGGGGAGCCCCCCGAGACCAUAGGCACGGGGGCACUGAAGUCCCCAGGAGUGUGUACAGGGGCCCUCCCCCAGGCUGGG